rnacentral:rRNA from 1 species
UACGUAGGGUGCGAGCGUUGUCCGGAAUUAUUGGGCGUAAAGCGUCCGCAGGUGGCACUUCAAGUCUGUCGUCAAAGACUGGGGCUUAACCCCGGAAAGGCGGUGGAAACUGAAGCGCUAGAGUGCGGUAGGGGUAGAGGGAAUUCCCGGUGUAGCGGUGAAAUGCGUAGAGAUCGGGAAGAACAUCGGUGGCGAAAGCGCUCUACUGGACCGCAACUGACACUCAGGGACGAAAGCUAGGGGAGCGAAUGGG